rnacentral:misc_RNA from 1 species
UGGUCUUCCAAAUGGCUUUGAGUGCCACAGAGCUCUGCGGCCACCCUCUCUUGCUGGUGUAAAGCUGGGCUUUGUGUUAUGCUAAGAAACUUAGAAGUUUGCUUUGUUGUGAAUGAAUAGUAGUGCUUGAUUGGGNNCUCCUUGGUUGUUGGCGAUGUGUUGGCUUCGAUCUUAGUCCAGCUCCUCUAGUGGUGGCAAGCUAUGAUGGUGAACAAUGGCAGAUGUUCUGUUUAAGUAGUCCCCCC